UUUCCGUAGGUGAACCUGCGGAAGGAUCAUUACCACACCGAUCCAACGAUCAACACCCCUGUGAAAUUGUGAAUGUUUUGACUAUACACUUUUUGUUUUGCGUGCUGGCUUCGAAGGUCUUGAAGCUUCUUCAGGCCGGACUUUCCAUGCAUCGACAAGACAUUAUACACAAACCACUUUUACAUAUCAACCACUUUUCAAUCUGAAAACCACAAUUAACUGUCUUGAGGCCACGCAAGUGACUCGAGGCGGCCAAAUGUCUUAAUCUGAAACAACUUUCAGCGAUGGAUAUCUUGGCUCUC
rnacentral:misc_RNA from 1 species